rnacentral:rRNA from 1 species
AUUGAACGCUGGCGGCAGGCCUAACACAUGCAAGUCGAGCGGAUGAAGGGAGCUUGCUCCUGGAUUCAGCGGCGGACGGGUGAGUAAUGCCUAGGAAUCUGCCUGGUAGUGGGGGAUAGCGUCCGGAAACGGGUGCUAAUACCGCAUACGUCCUGAGGGAGAAAGUGGGGGAUCUUCGGACCUCACGCUAUCAGAUGAGCCUAGGUCGGAUUAGCUAGUUGGUGGGGUAAAGGCCUACCAAGGCGACGAUCCGUAACUGGUCUGAGAGGAUGAUCAGUCACACUGGAACUGAGACACGGUCCAGACUCCUACGGGAGGCAGCAGUGGGGAAUAUUGGACAAUGGGCGAAAGCCUGAUCCAGCCAUGCCGCGUGUGUGAAGAAGGUCUUCGGAUUGUAAAGCACUUUAAGUUGGGAGGAAGGGCAGUAAGUUAAUACCUUGCUGUUUUGACGUUACCAACAGAAUAAGCACCGGCUAACUUCGUG